GACGAACGCUGGCGGCGUGCUUAACACAUGCAAGUCGAACGGAAAGGCCCUGCUUUUGUGGGGUGCUCGAGUGGCGAACGGGUGAGUAACACGUGAGUAACCUGCCCUUGACUUUGGGAUAACUUCAGGAAACUGGGGCUAAUACCGGAUAGGAGCUCCUGCUGCAUGGUGGGGGUUGGAAAGUUUCGGCGGUUGGGGAUGGACUCGCGGCUUAUCAGCUUGUUGGUGGGGUAGUGGCUUACCAAGGCUUUGACGGGUAGCCGGCCUGAGAGGGUGACCGGCCACAUUGGGACUGAGGUACGGCCCAGACGCCUAUGGGAGGCAGCAGUGGGGAAUAUUGCACAAUGGGCGGAAGCCUGAUGCAGCAACGUCGCGGGCGGGAUGACGGCCUGCGGGGUGUAAACCGCUGUCGCCUGUGACGAAGCGUUAGUGACGGUAAUGGGUAAAGAAGCACCGGCUAACUACGUG
rnacentral:rRNA from 1 species